GUUCAUUUUCAAGAAUAAUAUAACAGCAUUAGGAGAAAACAUGAUGCAGUGAAGGUGAUAGCUGUUGGGGUGACGUGCUGAAGCUUUGCAGUCAUGUUUACUUUGGCUCUGUGCAGACCUGGUGCUACCUGCAGGCUGCGUCACGGCUGGGACAGGUGCCAAGCCUGCAGUUGUAGAGGAUUCAGCACAACAGCAGGGCAAGGCCAGCAGGUCGGCCUGCAGGAGAAGCAAGUGGGAGCAGACCUGGAAAUGCCUGUUGCAAGAAGAGAAGCUGAGACCCUCUUCCAAGAGCGGCCUGAGCCUGGGAACCAGUAUUUGGAGGAUGCUUUGCUUCGGAGUUACCUGGAGGCACACCUUCCUCCCAAGGUACUGGAGGAGGUGAGCCAGGAGCUGGAGGGGUUUGGAAACCGUCUGCUAAGCAAGAUCGGACCUCUGGGAUGGGAAUGUGAGUUGAAUCCCCCUGUAUUUCGGCAGUACGACGCCUGGGGGCAGCGGGUGGAUCACAUUGUCACCUGCUCAGCAUGGAAGAGGAUGAAGGAGAUUGCAGCAGAGGAGGGGCUGAUUGCUGAGGCCUAUGAGAGAAGAUACUCCAACUGGAGCCGUGUGCACCAGGCUGUCAAACUGUACUUGUUUUCAACCGCCUCUGGGGGUUUCAACUGUCCGCUGGCCAUGACUGAUGGAGCAGCCAAAGUCAUUGAGUCCCUGGGUGUUCCUGCAUCUCUGAGAAAUGCUUUUGACCGUCUGACAUCUCGGGACCCCAGGAAGUUCUGGACCUCUGGCCAGUGGAUGACUGAGCGCCGGGGGGGCUCUGAUGUUGCUAAUGGCACAGAGACGGUGGCCAGAAAGCAGCCAGAUGGCACAUAUCAUCUCUAUGGUUUUAAAUGGUUUACAUCAGCUGCUGAUUCUGAUAUGGCACUGACCCUGGCCAGGAUAGAGGAUGCUGAAGGACGUGUGAAACAGGGCUCCGGCGGGCUGUCCCUGUUCUUCCUGAGGGUUCGAGACGAGGAGGAAAAGCUGAAUGGUAUCCAAGUGCAAAGACUGAAAGCGAAGUUGGGCACACGGCAGAUGGCGACAGCAGAGCUGUGGCUAAAUGGAGCUAAAGCAGAGCUGAUCUCUGCAGAAGGUCGUGGAGUGGCCUCCAUCUCCAACAUGCUGAACAUAACUCGGAUCCACAACGUCAUCGGUGCAGUAGCUUCCAUGAGAAGGAUGAUCAGUCUGAGCAGGCAGUAUGCCCUAAAACGGGUUGCCUUCGGGAAGCUCCUCAAAGAUCAUCCCCUGCACAUGCAGACGAUCGCCCGGAUGGAGGUGCAGACACGAGGGGCUUUUCUUCUCCUUAUGGAGAUGGCUCGGCUGCUUGGACUUGCAGAAACCAACAUGGCAAGCGAGCAGGACCAGCUCCUCUUGAGACUGCUUGUGCCAGUUGCCAAACUGUACACGGGGAAGCAGGCUUCUGCCGUUGCUAUUGAGGCAAUGGAGUCUUUUGGAGGACAAGGUUACAUGGAGGAUACAGGCUUACCAGUCAUAGUUCGUGAUACUCUGGUGCUGUCCAUAUGGGAAGGAACAACAAAUGUCCUAUCACUCGACGUCCUGAGGUCCCUCACCAAGAGCCGGGGGCAGGCGAUGGCCGUGUUCUUCUCCACAGUGCAGAACAAACUGGAGUCGGCUUGGAGCAGCGCGGAGCUGCAGGCCGCAGCGCAGUCUGUGCAGGAUGCCGCCGGCCGCCUCGCACGGUUCUGCCGAGGAGCUGCUUCCGAAGGGGCAGCGCCCAUGGAGCUGGCAGCAAGAGACUUCUCCUACUCCCUAGCAAGGAUCUAUGCAGGAGCUCUGCUAAUUGAGCACGCGGCUCGGCCUGGCUCCUCCCGCCUUGAUGUCUGUGCCGCUCAGAGGUGGUGCAGGCAGGAACUCUGCCCCGCGGCUGCAGAGAUGGAGAACGGCAGCUACAGCGCCGAGGAGUCGACCCUGGACGGCGCCCUGGUGUACGACGGCAGCCCCGCGGGCAGCAGGCUGUGACUCAGACAGGUAACGGAGACGCUCAGGUUGCACCCGAGGCAGCUGCAGGGAGCACGGCGAGCCCCCGAUGGGGGUCGCUGCUGAACAGAGGUAUUUCCGUCUCCAGGGCAGCGGUGGCUGGGUCUGCACAAGCGUUUGGACCCAGAGCACCGGUGCAGCUUUGAGACAAACAUCCACAGCAGCCCCACUCAUAGAACCAUGGAAUCAUGAAGGUUGGAAAGGACCACUGAGGUCCUUUCCAUGGUGCAACUUGAGGCCAUCACCUCUCGUCCUGUUGCUGUUAUCCAGGAGCAGAGGCCAAUCCCCACCUCACCACAACCCCCUUCCAGGACCUUCCUGCCCUCAGGCACAUCCACACUUCCUCCCAGCACGGUGGCACCUGCAGAGCUGUUGCUGGGCUCGCAAUCCCCUCGUGCAGAUCAUCCACAAAGGUAUCAAACAUUGCCAGCCCCAGUCGCCACACGUCGGCUCGGUUUGCUGAGCGCUUUGAUCGGAAGCCAACCCUAUUCCUUAGGGGAGGAGGGCGCCCUGCGGCCGUGCACGGAGCGAUCCGAGCCGCCUCGGGGAGCUGCAGGCACCGGGCGGACGCUGCCAUCAGGGCACACGGCAAACCCCCCCAGCACCCCCUGGUGCUGCCUUACUGCCGGUGCAGAUGCAGCCAGCAGAUGUCGGGAUGCUCUUGCUGUGUUUUAGGCAAAUGCUGAGUGAUCCGAUCACUGUCAGGAUGUGACUCGAAGCGGCAGCCGAGUGCUAACUGACUUUGUUAUAAAGAAAAGCAACGAAAAACUGAAAUUAUUUAGAUUUACAACAGAAAACCUUUGUUUUUUCUCAUUCACAGAGCUGCUCUCCAGUGCUGCCUGUGCUCCGAUGGCGUUUUCUUGGUGGUGCCUCCACAGGAGCUGCAGCCCUGGCUCACGCUGCCCGGAUGAAACGAAGUCUUUCUGACCAGAAGUUGCUCACCUCCUCCCUGCCCGCGCUGCCAUCACAAAACCAUCGGUGCUCACUGGUUGGUUAAGUCGUGCUUUUGGUUCUUUCUUUCUCCCUUGCCCCAGAGCAGCUCUGCUGGGCUUAAAGGUGACCCAAAGCAGAGGCUUUGCUGCACUGCUCCUUGCUGGACGCCCCAUCCCUGCUCACUGAGCUCCACGGGCAGCAGAGGUGGGCAACAAAAGCAGUCACCAGUGCACAUCAAAGGCAGCGCUGCUGCCCAGUGCUGCUCCGUAACAGCCCUGCGAGGGGGUAAAUCACAUCAACCCCAUCACUCAGAUCCCAUCAAGGCCGGACACGUCAGUACCAGAAUGAAAGAAAAAUCAUUUCUGACCUCCAGCAAGCUUAUUCAUUUCCUUCGUGUGUCACAGCGGUGCUGCAAGUGAUGCUGACAUCACUUCUGACGCACGCUGGAGAUCGGAAUCCCGCGCUGCUCCACCAAAGCAAACACUGCCUCACCUGUGCGCCGUGCCCAGCAACCAGCAGGGAGCAGCUCUGCGGGCGCUGCUCUGAGGCGGCACAGCACAGGGCUCCCAGCUGCACAGCACCACUGAGGAGUGACUCAAGCACAAGAGGAGCUCCCUAAAAUCUUGUAAUUGAAACCCGCUGCUCCUCUGCGCGUCUGUAACAGUUGCUGCAUUUUCUUCCUGAAGCUGCAAAUGCCACCGCCGGCCCUGAGGUCGCCCAGCAUGCAGGUGUGAGAGCACAGCCAUGACCCUGCAGGGGGAGGAGUGGAAAAUCCGCUCUUCCAAAGGCGAGAGGGGCAGCAGGCGCUGAAGGAGGGGCUGAGUUAUGGGGAGAAAGGCGAG